rnacentral:rRNA from 1 species
UGGGGAAUUUUGGACAAUGGGCGAAAGCCUGAUCCAGCAAUGCCGCGUGUGUGAAGAAGGCCUUCGGGUUGUAAGGCACUUUUGUCCGGAAAGAAAUCCUUGGCUCUAAUACAGUCGGGGGAUGACGGUACCGGAAGAAUAAGCACCGGCUAACUACGUGCCAGCAGCCGCGGUAAUACGUAGGGUGCAAGCGUUAAUCGGAAUUACUGGGCGUAAAGCGUGCGCAGGCGGUUUGCUAAGACCGAUGUGAAAUCCCCGGGCUCAACCUGGGAACUGCAUUGGUGACUGGCAGGCUAGAGUAUGGCAGAGGGGGGUAGAAUUCCACGUGUAGCAGUGAAAUGCGUAGAGAUGUGGAGGAAUACCGAUGGCGAAGGCAGCCCCCUGGGCCAAUACUGACGCUCAUGCACGAAAGCGUGGGGAGCAAAACAGGAUUAGAUACCCUGGUAGUCCACGCCCUAAACGAUGUCAACUAGUUGUUGGGGAUUCAUUUCCUUAGUAACGUAGCUAACGCGUGAAGUUGACCGCCUGGGGAGUACGGUCGCAAGAUUAAAACUUAAAUGAAUUGACGGGGUCAUAGCUG